AUGCCUUCUUGCAUUGCAGUGGAAGAUCUUGCCCUAAUGCCCAUAGGAGCUGUGAUAUUAAUGCAACUGAAUAAUCUCAAAAUGUGCUUGCGCAACUCUGAUAGUGCUACUGAUACUUCGGAAGUUGCUAAGGCAUAUGGUGGAGGAGGUUCUGCAAGUUCAAGCUCCUUCAUUAUAAGGAUGGAUGAGUAUAACCAAUGGAUUUCAGCAAAUCUGUUAUGA